GAUGAAGAACGCAGCGAAAUGCGAUAAGUAGUGUGAAUUGCAGAAUUCAGUGAAUCAUCGAAUCUUUGAACGCACAUUGCGCCCUUUGGUAUUCAAAAGGGCAUGCCUGUUCGAGCGUCAUUUGUACCCUCAAGCUUUGCUUGGUGUUGGGCGUCUUGUCUCUAGCUUUGCUGGAGACUCGCCUUAAAGUAAUUGGCAGCCGGCCUACUGGUUUCGGAGCGCAGCACAAGUCGCACUCUCUAUCAGCAAAGGUCUAGCAUCCAUUAAGCCUUUUUUUCAACUUUUGACCUCGGAUCAGGUAGGGAUACCCGCUGAACUUAAGCAUAUCAAUAAGCGGAGGA
rnacentral:misc_RNA from 1 species